CCAACGUGGAUACCCUAGGAGGUCACUCUCCCCAGGCUCUGUCCAGGUGGCAUAGGGGAGCAUAGGGCUCUGCCCCGUGAUGUACAGUCCCUUUCCACGAUGUUGGAGAAGAAGCUGGGCCUUGUGUCUGCACCUGCAUAUUCCUCAGAGUCNNNNNNNCAGUGACUGAGGAGAUAAACCAUGCAGGAAACAAUG
ensembl:snoRNA SNORA73 Small nucleolar RNA SNORA73 family